GUGGGGAAUAUUGGACAAUGGGCGAAAGCCUGAUCCAGCCAUGCCGCGUGUGUGAAGAAGGUCUUCGGAUUGUAAAGCACUUUAAGUUGGGAGGAAGGGCAGUAAGUUAAUACCUUGCUGUUUUGACGUUACCGACAGAAUAAGCACCGGCUAACUUCGUGCCAGCAGCCGCGGUAAUACGAAGGGUGCAAGCGUUAAUCGGAAUUACUGGGCGUAAAGCGCGCGUAGGUGGUUUUGUAAGUUGGAGGUGAAAUCCCCGGGCUCAACCUGGGAACUGCCUCCAAAACUGCAUGACUAGAGUACGGUAGAGGGUAGUGGAAUUUCCUGUGUAGCGGUGAAAUGCGUAGAUAUAGGAAGGAACACCAGUGGCGAAGGCGACUACCUGGACUGAUACUGACACUGAGGUGCGAAAGCGUGGGGAGCAAACAGGAUUAGAAACCCUAGAGUCC
rnacentral:rRNA from 1 species